rnacentral:rRNA from 1 species
CCAGACUCCUACGGGAGGCAGCAGUGAGGAAUAUUGGUCAAUGGUCGGGAGACUGAACCAGCCAAGCCGCGUGAGGGAUGAAGGUACAGAGUAUCGUAAACCUCUUUUGUCAGGGAACAAAGGCGGGGACGUGUCCCCGGAUGAGUGUACCUGAAGAAAAAGCAUCGGCUAACUCCGUGCCAGCAGCCGCGGUAAUACGGAGGAUGCGAGCGUUAUCCGGAUUUAUUGGGUUUAAAGGGGGCGCAGGCGGUCUGUUACGGCGGGGUGCACAGCGGGGGGCCCACCCCCGCCCCGCCGUUGAAACUGGCAGUCUCGAGUUGGAGAGAAGUAUGCGGAAUGCGCGGUGUAGCGGUGAAAUGCAUAGAUAUCGCGCAGAACUCCGAUUGCGAAGGCAGCAUGCCGGCGCCACACUGACGCUGAGGCACGAAAGCGUGGGUAUCGAACAGGAUUAGAUACCCGUGUAUU